CGGGGGAGCAAGCGUUGUUCGGAUUUACUGGGCGUAAGGGCGCGUAGGCGGCCACCGCAAGUCGACUGUGAAAUCUCCGGGCUUAACUCGGAAAGGUCAGCCGAUACUGCGGGGCUAGAGUGCAGAAGGGGCAACUGGAAUUCUCGGUGUAGCGGUGAAAUGCGUAGAUAUCGAGAGGAACACCUGCGGCGAAGGCGGGUUGCUGGGCUGACACUGACGCUGAGGCGCGAAAGCUAGGGGAGCGAACGGGAUUAGAUACCCCGGUAGUCCUAGCCUUAAACGAUGAAUGCUUGGUGUCUGGGGUUUUAUAGUCCCCGGGUGCCGUCGCUAACGCUUUAAGCAUUCCGCCUGGGGAGUACGGUCGCAAGACUG
rnacentral:rRNA from 1 species